GGAUAGCUUGGGUGGUAGAGCAUGAGACUCUUAAUCUUAGGGUUGUGGGUUUGAGCCCCAAGUUGGGCA